AGGGGCGCCAGGACCCGGCCCCGGCCCCGCCCCUCCCACUGACCUCGCUGCUUGGCCGCCUCGUAGUCCGCCUUGCACACCAGCCGGCUGUCCUCCAUGAGGUAGAACUCGUCGCCCGUGGCCAGCUGCCGUUUGCACACCACGCAGGCGAAGCAGUGCAGCUGCGGUACUUGUGAGCGGACGGGACAAAUGGAUCCGAUAUCCCCAUGCUCAAGCUUGGAUGCCCCAGCACACAGAAAGAUCUCCGGGAGAGGAGAGAGCCGCGCACAGCAGCUGAACCCACACAAACACUGCAUCCCUCACCGGCUCACCUGGCUGCCCCGACCCCUCCGGCUCCAGGAGGGGGGCAGAGAGGGAGGACGGAACCUCACUGGGCGCCAGAGCCGAAUCAACCUCCCUCCCGCAGCCGCGGAAACCCGCGAAGGACGCGGUCCCGCGUCGGGCAAAACCGCGCCCCAGGUGUGGAGCCUGGGGACCCGCCGGGCCCGGGCCUCGCUGUGGGCGGCGCAGGCAGAGCGAGGACGCGGCGCAGCCCUGGCGGCUGG